rnacentral:lncRNA from 8 species
UCACAGUCAUUGACGAACCUGCACUUUACAUCAGAAGAGAGUCAUUUUGAGACAUCAGAACUGCUCUGACACCAACAGAGCUGUUUUUGAACUUCCUUAUUUUGAUCGUCUUCAAGAGGACUAACAGGACCAGCUGCCCUGUGGCAUUGUGG